AUGAGCCUUGGAAAGGAAUGCGAAAAGCAUUCAAGGUUGUGUGUAAAGGCUCGAAGAGUGAGCUUGGUAUGUUCCAAGACCAGCAAGGCCACCACCACUGGUGCGCAGUGGGGAGAGUGGAGAGACACAGGCAGAGGAGCCAGUAAGCACAGCAUGAGGAGCUUGGAGGGACGUCAUUCCGCUUGCACUAGGCAGCCUGUGGUGAUGGAGGACUCCUGGCCAACAGAGAAGCAAAUGAAGAAACCACAAAGCUGCAAGGACCGACGUCAACAUACCUGGGGCCAAGAACCUCAAUAUCCUUCUACCUUCUUCAUAAACACACAGUUCUAUGAUGCAAUCAAGUCAACAUGGCUCUGAGACCCUUAAGGCUCUUCAGCCCAUGGUGAUUCUAGGGACCUGUGAUGUACUCCCCAAACCAUGACAGGCACACUGCCAAGUCACUUGCCUCAGCUGGUGCCUGGUAGCGUCUUACCCCACAGAUACUACUCAAACACAUGGCCAUGUCUCCUCUUGCCUGACUCACUGUGCUCCCCCGGGUAGCAGCAGCUCCUUGCUACACCCUGGCCAACAACUAAUUUCUCUUCCUAGAAUCCCAUACUCCUCACCCUACAACACAUACCCUUGCUUUUCUCAUUCCUGUUUGUCAAGUUACUCCUGCCUCUGAUGCUCCUUUGGACCAACACCUCUGUCCUUUGCAUCAAGAUUUGAAAAGCCUUGAAAUGCUCAGAAAAACAAGAGCAGACCACAGGCUUGGAAUGUUAGGAGCCAAGACCAUCCAGGGGCACGGAUUUUAACGCAGACUCUCCCACCUCAUCCCAGCUGAGAGCCAAAGCAGAACCUGGCUUCUAUCAAGUUAGUGUGGGUGGGAAAGGCUUUCUGCACCUGAAGAUACUAGGGUGAUCAACCACCCUGGCUUGAGAAGUGAGAGUUCUGCUUCCUGGGAAACCCAAGUCCUUGGCAAACAAGCUAACUGGCCACUCUAUAUUGAAGCAAUGCCCAACCCUGGCCUCAAAUGAACUGACAACUUAAGUCUUCCCUCAUUUAACAAUUGCUUUAAUGACUUCAGGGAACCAGUGUAUUUCUACCAACUCACUAUUACUUGUGAAGUAUUUUAAGCUCAAACUGGCUGACACAAUACAUGUUAAGCUAAAAGGAAAGAAGUAAAAACGUAUAGAGCUAUGUGCCACCGCAUGAGCCAUACUAUCCACACACAGUAUCCACGUGUUGACACAUGCAAAGCUAACAUGAGCUGCUCCUAGAGGCAAUUUACAUAGUGACCACCAGGAAAUUUAAUGGCGCACAACCACCCUAUGGGAACACGUGUGUGCUGCCCUUACUGCGAGGGUAUCCACACCAUUAACAGUGAUCACCUCACAGGAGUACGGAAGGUGGGAAAUUUUUUAAAAAUCUAAAGCUCUGUUGCUGAUAUUACUGUAAAUAUAUACUUUAAAAAAUUUCCAAAGACUGAACACUCUGAGCACUCACACAGGUUAGAGGUGGGCAGCAAGUGUGGGGUCACAUCUUUAUCAGAAUGAGUGGGUCGUUAACUGGACACCAAAGAGACCACCAUCAAGAAGGCUUCUGAUGAGAAACCACUUUGAAGGUAUCAAUAUGUAAUACAAGCAUUGUUAAUUUCCUACCAGUUUGUAACUCUGUAUUGUCUGUACUGUUCUUUUGCUAUUUUGUAAAAGGUUGUCUGUUAAUGUUUUCCUUUUAUUUUAAAAAUUUUUUUUUUUAAAAAAAGGCUUCUGACGUCCUCCUGAAUAUCACAGAGUAGGGGUCCUCUGAGAAGGGUGGGCUUAUUCAUUACUAUCCUUGCCAGCUUAAGCAGCUAACUGUAAUUUCUGAGAGUCUUAUAAAACAUAAAUCUCAAGUUUAUCAGAAACUAAGUUUUUUUUUUUGGUUAUCAGGAAUCAAACCCAGGGCCUUGCACUUGCCAGGCAGGCGCUGUGCUGCUGAGCACCCAGAAAUUAAAAAUUUAAGUCAUUCUUAGUUACAAGAGUACUGUUCUCCUCCAACCAGGUUUGCAGAGGAAAACAGGAUUUCACUUAAGACACUUUUUAAGUUGGAAGAGGGCCAGGGACUUAGCUCAGUGGGGCAGUCCCUGCUUGGCAAGUAUGAGGUCCUGUGUUUGACUGCUGACAGUCACUCCCCCACAAAAAAAAGUUGGACAGGGGUACACCAUUGUAUAAAUACCUCUCCUAAAGAUACCAUGGGUUUUCCUUUGCAAUAUAUGUCUAUCAAAGCCCACUGUGAACAUUGUUAGAUUUGGAAACAAAAGUUUGGUAAUGGUAGCAUGGCUCAGUCCUUUUCCCACUCAGACUUAGCAAUUACUUUUACAGCCAGAUUGGAGUAAAUAUUCCUGAGACACAGGUCACAGAAACUGAAUUCUAAGAAAAGGACACUUGACUUAGGCCAACCCUUUAAAGGCCCAGCAUACAAACCCGCCUCACAUUUCCCAAAGGGCCUAUUACCCUUGGCUUCUUGAAGCAGCCUUCAGUCACAAACAUAGGUCACUUCCUCUGCACUCAAGAGGACCGUAACAUCGAAUUUAUUAUUUCCAGAAGCCACAAAUUACUCGUGUGAGUUUCUGGGGACCAAACCCAGGCCCCUGCACAUCCCAGGCACAUGAACUACUACUGAUCCGUGUCUCCACCCCUUCCCAAACGCGGAAAGCGAGUGGUGGUGAACCUACGCACUUGAGUUACUGUUCUAAGACAAAAAUGUUAACAUGUGAGUUGUUUUUUCUAAACUAGGACCUCAGCAUUCAGGUUUGAUCAGUGCCGGCACUUCACGGCAGGUAAGUGGGUUCUGGGUUGCAGUUUGGGCACUCAUCUCUAAAUGGUCACCAUCGAUGCUCUAAGAUAAAGUCAGGCUAAAGUUGCCCAGGCUGGCUCAAAGCUGCAGUCCUCCCACGUCAGCCUCCGUGGUAACUCAGCUGACGGGGAUGAGCCAUCGCCUCAGCUUCUCUGUAGGUUUCUAACACACUACAUGCUGGAGGCCAUCUGCCACUACGGCUGACCGCGGAAUGCCAACCUGGAAAUCCACAAAUCAAUUAAAAAUGAACAAGUACCUCAACAGGUUAAAAAAAAAAUUCCACAAGUCAUCUGGUCAUGUCUCCAGCUCUAUUUUAAUAAAAACUCCAGCUUCUGAUUUCUAGCCUACUUGGAAAGGCAGGAGGGACUCAGUAACAGCAUAUUCCAGAUUCUUCAUGUGGUAUAUUUUACCAGCUUUAACUGUACCAAAAGUGAAAACUCAGGCCUACAAAGCCGCAACUAAAAUAUAUUUGAAAGAAAUCCAGAGCCAAGACUAAAAUCAAGGCCAAAACGUGCCAUUAGUAGGCAAAGAGGCCAUAAGAGGUCUCACAGAGCCUUGAAGUCACAAAAGUCACCGCCAUGCCAUCCCCAAAAUUUUGACUUGUAUUUCAACUAUCUGCCUUCUUUCAGGAAGCAGAGUGGGCUAGAUUUAUCUUUACUCAGAUCAUGGAAAGGAUGAAAUUAUUAUUUUUCCGGUACCUGGGAUCAAACUCACAACCUUGCACUUGCCAGGCAGGCGCUGUGCCGCUGAGCUAAAUCCCCAGCCCCUGAAAUUAUUUAUUUGAAGAAUGCUGCAGACCAAAUAUGUUAACACAGCUCCUUCCCCAAGCCCUCUACCUCCUGUGUCUAACACAUCCAUACUCCACAGCUGCUGAGAUAGACUAGAACCUAGAAAGGCAGGCUGGAUUCAUCACCAUAGUCUACAAAUUCUACAUGUGUUUCACCAAACCUUAACACCCAGCUUUUUCCUGAGACAUCUGGACAUACCUGGCUCACUUACAUGUGACCAGGGCUAAAAAUCCUGACUACUAGGCCUCAUCGCCGAUGCCCAGGAUCCACUGCCAUACUAGAAUAUUCUGAAAACACUGCAACAGCCUGAAACCCACUUAGCCCAGUGUACCUGAAGUUAAGACGGUAUACCAACCCUCCAUGCAGUUACUUAACAGCUGUAUCUCCAGCAGCUUUAGAUCUUUCACUUUGCUCUUCCUUGUGUGCUUCAGAACAAGAAAUACAUUAAUUCUCUGUUCUAUCACCAUGAUUAAUCACUACAGCAUUUUAGGUCUAGCACUAAAGGAAGAUCAGCUAGGCCCAGGUUAUAACUGAACAGUGGAGGGCUUACAUUGCAUAAGUGAGGCCGUAGGUCCAAUCUCCAGCGUAAGAAAAACAAAAACAAAAAAAAAACACAAGACACACAAAUCUGCUAGAUCUCUUGAAAGAACAUAUGGGAGACCGGAUGGUUAAUGAGACUGUAUACAAUGGUUGAUGCUAUUUUAAGAAUAGUAAAAUAAGAAUAGUAAAAUAAGCCUUAAGCAGUGGUUUGCUGCAUUCAGCAUGGGAGACAGAGAAGAGCCUAGCUGCUUUCCCCAAGUCUUGUGAGAAUAUGAACUACUUGUAACUCAACUCUAGCCAUGAACUCCAGGUUUCUGUUUCUCAUAAAAACAAAAGGAUGGGGCUGGACAUGGUGGCACAUACCUGUAAUUCCAGCGCUCAGGAGGCUGAGGCAGGAGGAUCACUGCAAGUUCGAGAUUAGCCUGGGCUACUGAGUUCAAAGAGCCUGAACUGCAUAAUGAAACCCUG
ensembl:lincRNA